UACGAAGAGUGCAAGCGUUACUCGGAAUUACUGGGCGUAAAGCGUGCGUAGGUGGUUCGUUAAGUCUGAUGUGAAAGCCCUGGGCUCAACCUGGGAAUGGCAUUGGAUACUGGCGGACUGGAGUGCGGUAGAGGAUGGCGGAAUUCCCGGUGUAGCAGUGAAAUGCGUAGAGAUCGGGAGGAACAUCUGUGGCGAAGGCGGCCAUCUGGACCAGCACUGACACUGAGGCACGAAAGCGUGGGGAACAAACAGG
rnacentral:rRNA from 1 species